AGCGCUCUCUGAAAGCUAGGCUAGCGGAGCUUAUAAAGAUCGGAUGGUAGAGCUUUCGCUUUCCCCUCAGACGCUCCAGAUGUAGACUAGGUGAGCUCUCUGCCCGGGAGGGACAGAUCGUCGGAGCCCGCGGGCGGAAGGCGAGUCGUGGCGGGGUUAGGGCUCUGGAGUCCGGCCCGGCCCGGCAGUCCCCUGAGCUUGAAAGAAUUGAAUGCCUCCUCAGUUGUCACCCAGGCUGAUCUUGCGCAGGCUGUUGGCUUCUCGUGGAGUUUGGGUCCCAGCACUAGGAAUGUUGAGAACCACUGCCCUAGAAGAAGUCACAAAACCAUGAUGCCAUCAUCUGACAGAAGCCCCUCUUGGUCGUAACAUGGAGGAUGGGAGAAGGUUUAAAUCCGUGGAGUCGUUUACAUCAGAUGCUACCAGGAGCCAGUGUGGGGAAUUCCCAUCAGCUCUGAUUCUCGAGGUUAAAGAAGAUCCACGGACACUUCAGGAACGCAUCAGGGAAAUGCAUCAAGAGUUUGCUCCAAUUCAGCACUUGCCAGAAGCUGGCCGGGAGACAUUUGAUGUGUGUAAGAGACUGGCGAGGUUCGUGUUAAACAGCCAUUCAUCUGCAUUCUUUGAGCUCAGGCCUGAUAUUGAGUUAGCUCUUCAGAAAGCCAUGUGUCUGGUCCAUAUUAUCUCAGUCCCCUCCAGAACUGCCUCUCUCCAUUAAGAUUUAAUGCCUUUCCCUAGCUUUUAUCUAAGGGGUGUGCAUGAAACAUCCAUUUUGAGAAUCUUUCUGUAUUUUUCAUUAAAACACAUGGCAGCCAA
rnacentral:lncRNA from 1 species